UCAAAAACAGUUCUUGAGAAUACUAACUUUGGGAGUUAGCGGAUGACGGAGGUCAUUUUUGAA
rnacentral:tRNA from 1 species